GCAGUCAUGGCCGAGUGGUUUAGGCGAUGGAUUAGAAAUCCAUUGGGGUCUCCCCGCAUAGGUUCGAAUCCUGUCGACUGCG
rnacentral:tRNA from 1 species